rnacentral:rRNA from 1 species
CAAAAACAUAGCCCCAUUCCACUUAUAUGGGGUGCAACCUGCUCAAUGGCUGUAAAUAAAUAAACUAAUAACAGUUAAAUAGCCGCGGUAACUCUGACCGUGAUAAAGUAGCAUAAUCACUUGUCAUUUAAUUAAUGACUGGAAUGAAUGGUUUAACAAACCCUACUCUGUCUCGAUAAGAAAUUUUAUAAAAUUGAAAUUGUAGUGAAGAUGCUACAUAAAAAUUGUAAGACGAAAAGACCCUAUCGAGCUUUA